rnacentral:lncRNA from 1 species
UGAACCCCUGCUCAGGCUCCGAUGGCGACAGAGAGAUCAAGGAUUCGACGGUGAGGUACUUUAUUCCCCCCCCUUUUAUGCUACUAUUUAUUUCUUUAAUAAACGCCCAAUGGAAUCUCAAACGAAAAAACUGCGAAAAAAAAUAAGAAGGAAGAAGAAGAACCCAGAAAUCACCUUUUGGUGUUUUUUUUAUUUUUUAUUUUUGUAUUUUGAAUGCGUGUGUGUGCUUUUUUUUAUGUUUUUCUCUGUGUCCCCUUACAAAAGGCUCCCUAUUUCUUCUUAUAGCCGAAAAAUAAAGAAAAAAUGAAAUCCCCCGAAUCUUUUUCUUUACAUUUUUCUUAUUUUUCUGAUUUGCUGGCGAUUUCUCUUCUUUUUGCUUGCUUUCUCUGCCUUUUUCGUUUGUUUGUCCUUCUUGCAGGUAUACGGAGGUCGUACGGUGACGUGGUACGGCUCAACGCAGCGCAUGGAGGCAUAUCAAGUAGCGGUGGCGCACGUGCGAAGGCACGCACGCCGGCAGAGGCUCGACACGUGGGGACGAAGGCCUUGGUGGCUGCGGUGUUGGAAGCCGAAUGCUGCUAGGGUUUCAGUCUCAGUUAGGCUAGGUGUUGGGCCAUUGGGCCAUUAGGUUUAGGUUUUUGGGCUAGGUGUACUGGGCUUCUGUUUAGUGGGUUUUGGGUAUGUAAUUUUGAGUUUUCAAAUUGGGUCAAUGUAAU